rnacentral:tRNA from 1 species
CAGGGAGACAAAACUGAUUAUGAUGUUUGAAUAUUUAUCUUCAAGCCGUAAUCCUGUCACCUUAGGUCGAUCGGUACCUCAGUUUGAUAUCCGAAUCUAAAAUUUUUGGGUUUAAAAUAUUAAAUUCAGUUCCUAAACUUUGUCUAGGUCACACCCAGCAAGGGUACUCCUGGGCCAUUAGCUCAGGUGGUUAGAGCGCACCCCUGAUAAGGGUGAGGUCCCUGGUUCAAGUCCAGGAUGGCCCAUUCGGUGUUGGGGGUAUAGCUCAGUUGGUAGAGCGCCUGCUUUGCAAGCAGGAUGUCAGCGGUUCGAGUCCGCUUACCUCCACUGAUCGACCUUCUGAGAUCGAAGUCUAAAGGAGACUUUUACUUGUUGUGAUCUAGAAUUUGUUCUUAAUGAAUAUGAACCUAGCUUCUUAUCAUCCAAUCAAAAUAAUUUCGAUUAGGUUGAUAUGACGCUGGGCUCUUCUGCAAUUUACUUGCGGUGAAGUUCAGUAGAACCUUGACAACUGCAUAGGUGAGUCUGGAAAAAAUAAAGCAUCUCAUGGAUGGAUUAUUUUCUUCAGCAUUGAUUUUCAUGUAUUGAUUUUUCAGAACAUGGAAGUUUUUGUUGAGACUAUAAUUAAUUAAUUCUUGAGCAAGAGCCGAGCUUUAUAACGAUAUUUUUAAAGCAAUUAUGCAUUUAAAAAUAUGUUUUUUAUUUUUCGAUCUUUUCAAUUAAUUUGGUCUUACUAGUUAAUUGAUAUCAAUUUCGACUAUAAAUUACUCGUUAUAAACAUUAUUU